UACGUAGGUGGCAAGCGUUAUCCGGAAUUAUUGGGCGUAAAGCGCGCGUAGGCGGUUUCUUAAGUCUGAUGUGAAAGCCCACGGCUCAACCGUGGAGGGUCAUUGGAAACUGGGGGACUUGAGUGCAGAAGAGGAAAGUGGAAUUCCAUGUGUAGCGGGGGAAUGCGCAGAGAUAUGGAGGGACACCAGUGGCGAAGGCGACUUUCUGGUCUGUAACUGACGCUGGUGUGCGAAAGCGUGGGGAUCAAACAGG
rnacentral:rRNA from 1 species